rnacentral:rRNA from 1 species
GAUGAACGCUGGCGGCGUGCUUAACACAUGCAAGUCGAACGGAAAGGCCCUGCUUUUGUGGGGUGCUCGAUUGGCGAACGGGUGAGUAACACGUGAGUAACCUGCCCUUGACUUUGGGAUAACUUCAGGAAACUGGGGCUAUUAUCGGAGAGGAGCUCUUGCACCACGGUGGGGGUGGGAAAGUUUCGGCGUUGGGGGAUGGAUUCGCGGCUUAUGAGCUGGUUGGUGGGGUAGGGGAUGUCCAAGGCUUCGACGGCUACGCGGCCUGGGAGCGUGAACGGCCACAUUAGGACUGAGAUACGGACCAGACUCCUACGGGAGGCAGCAGUCGGGAAUAUUGCACAGUGGGCGGAAGCCUGAUGUGGCGACGCCGCGUGCGGGAUGACGGCCUUCGGGUUGUGAACAGCUUUCGCCUGUGACGAAGCGUGCGUGACGGUAAUGGGUAAAGAAGCCCCGGCUAACUACGUG